rnacentral:lncRNA from 1 species
GAAAAAUGUUUAGUAAGCUGGAAUGUCACAAGAGGAAGCCCAGAGAACACAGGGAUAACAAACACCAGGAGGACUACGGAAGAGGAAGUUUUAUUAUUUUCAACACAAGUCUCUCACAGACAUUUUCUAGAUUUAUGGGCUUUGGCACACAUUUCAUUCCUGGAGAUGGUUAG